UACGGAGGGGGCUAGCGUUGUUCGGAAUUACUGGGCGUAAAGCGCGCGUAGGCGGACCUGCAAGUCGGGGGUGAAAGCCCGAGGCUCAACCUCGGAACUGCCUUCGAUACUGCGGGUCUCGAGUCCGGGAGAGGUGAGUGGAAUUCCUAGUGUAGAGGUGAAAAUUCGUAGAUAUUCGCAAGAACACCAGUGGCGAAGGCGGCUAACUGGUCCGGUUCUGACGCUGAGGCGCGAAAGCGUGGGGAGCGAACAGG
rnacentral:rRNA from 1 species